CUACGAAAGGCAUAAUUCGCGACAGUCCCAAAAAUGCUUUUUUUUGAACCCCGUCGCUAAAAAAAUGGUGUAAGUGUUUAAAACGGUCGCCUAUAGUACACUAUAGGCGACAGUUUUAAACACUUGUAUAAAUUAAGCGACAGUUAAUAAAUGUAGAGAAAAAAUUAAAUAAAAUAUAAUCAAAUACUAUUCCCCACGGUUUAGAACCGUCGGGCAAAGUAUUAGCACCCGUAGCCCAUACUUUGCUCCACGGUUUAAAACCGUCGGGAAAAGCCCUUUAUAAUAAAACGCGCGACAAACCCUCUACAUUUCAGAUCACGUUUUCCCUCUUAUUUGCUCCAAACCCUCUCAUUUGCCCCAAACCACGGUAAGACUCUCUCUCGUCCUUUAUCAUCGAUUUCACUCACAACUCUCUCUCUCUCUCUCUCACGGUGACGCAGCUCUGCCACCACCGGUGACGCACCACUGACGCCUCUCCACUGCCGAGAGCCACUCCGCCGAGCGCCACCAUCGUGUAUCGGGUCCGUUGCGUUGAUUCAAGAUUACACAAGUAGCUAGCUUUAUUGGAGAAAGGGUAAGAGCAAUCGUACUCAAAUAACGAGAUGAAUAUUCCGCGUGAUCAGUGGAUUGAAUAGGCCCGAGCACACGCAGGGCGACAAGGGCUAUUAUGAUGAUUAGUUUUUAUUUUUGUUUAUACUUUACACUAUAACCAGUUACUUUCAUAUAACUAAAGAUUAAUUAAUAUUUAUACUUUAUCUUUGAGUACGUAGUUUGUAUAUAUUUCAAUUUUUGUUCAUUUUUAAUUUAUGUUUAUACUUUAUCUUAACUAAUUAGU